CUCUCCCGCUGGAUCCGGCAGAGGGGAGGGCCUUGCCGCUGCCCACCACCUCCCCUCCCGUCGGAUCCGGCGGAGGGG
rnacentral:pre_miRNA from 1 species